AGAACGAACGCUGGCGGCAUGCCUAAUACAUGCAAGUCGAACGAACUCUUCGGAGUUAGUGGCGCACGGGUGCGUAACGCGUGGGAAUCUGCCCCUUGGUUCGGAAUAACAGUUGGAAACGACUGCUAAUACCGGAUGAUGACGAAAGUCCAAAGAUUUAUCGCCGAAGGGAUGAGCCCGCGUAGGAUUAGCUAGUUGGUGAGGUAAAGGCUACACAAGGACUAACGAUCCUUAGCUGGUACUGAGAGGAUGAUCAGCCACACGUGGACUGAAGACACGGCCCAGACCUCCGACGGGAGCAGCAGGAGGAAUA
rnacentral:rRNA from 1 species